GAGGCUGUCUUCCUCUGCUGUCUCAUAGAGCCUGAAAGAGCGGAGAACCUUUCAGUGAAGAACCAACAAAGCCCACGUCCAUGAGCACGACAUCAACGUGGGCAGCCUCACAGCAGUUCCUGCUUGGCCUGAUCACCAGGUGGAGUCCCCCAAGUGCUGAGCUGUGAGAGCUGAGGGACAAGGAAGGACGCUGUGGUCACCACAAGGUAUGCAAAACAGAGAGACAAGAAAGAUAUACGAGAAAGAAACAAGCUACGAAUUCACAGACAGGAAACAAAAAAAGAGGAUGGGCUAAGUUAAAGACUCAAGCAUCUCCAAGCAUCAGUGCAUCCCAUAACAGGUAGAAAGGGUACAGAAAUGCAGAUAAGCAGAUCCAGGCUUGUU